UUUACUCUCUACUUAAUCCCUAUUUGAAGUAAAAGAAAUGUUUGUAAUUGGUUGUUUUUUUAAAAGUAUAAACUUGUUAUUGUCUUUUUCAUUCUAGUGGAUUUUCGUGGAUUAUUGCUUUGUGUAUGAGCAUAAUUACCGAUAUCAGUAAUAGUUUAACAUGCAAGUUAACUGUCAACAAUUUUUCUAUACAAGUUUUUUAAUUGUGUACACAGUUUAAGUAUGAACUAAAGCACGGGAUAGUCUUAGAUCUUAAUUUCAAAAAGUCAAAUACGCCACUAAAAAUUGUAUUACUCAUGAUCAAUUGUUUAUAUAUUUUUAGUUUUGGUUGAAUAAAUAAUUAUGAUUUUUGUCUCUUUGCUAUAAAUAUAACUUGUAUAAAAAGUAAACAAAAUUAUUUUUGUUUUUAACCUAAACUUUCAUAUUGUUUUUAUUUUUAUACGACUCAAAUAUUUUAUGACACUUUUGUAUUUAUUAACUUGAGUAUUGCAUGUUUUUUUAAAUAUUAAGUAAGUUACCAAUUACUAUUAACUAAAAAAAAUACUUUGAAAUUAGUUCUCUAACCAUUGUUGUUGGCCAACUAAUAGACACAACAAUUUUGCUGGUUGCCUAUUUUAAAAUACUAAGGAUUUUGUAAGUUUAUUUUGUUGUUUUAUAUUUAUAAUAAUAAUUUAUCAGUCAUUACCAACCAAUUUCUGUUUUUAAAUAAUAAUAAUAAUAAUAGAAAAAAAAAUUAAAUUUAUUUAUUUGUAGCAUGAUUAUACUUGCUAAUAAAUUAAUUUAUAA